AGCGAACGCUAGCGGCGGGCCUAACACAUGCAAGUCGAGCGGGGGAGCAAUCCCCAGCGGCGGACGGGUGAGUAACACGUAGGUUAUGUGCCCUUUGGUGGGGAAUAACCGUGGGAAACCAUGGCUAAUUCCGCAUAUCGAGCGAAAUCUUGAAAGCCUUCGGGCGCCAAAGGAGCAACCUGCGGCCCAUUAGCUUGUUGGUAGGGUAACGGCCUACCAAGGCGAUGAUGGGUAGCUGGUCUGAGAGGAUGAUCAGCCACACUGGAACUGAGACACGGUCCAGACUCCUACGGGAGGCAGCAGUGGGGAAUAUUGCGCAAUGGGCGAAAGCCUGACGCAGCCACGCCGCGUGAGUGAUGAAGGCCUUCGGGUCGGU
rnacentral:rRNA from 1 species